CGAAAGGGUGACGAAGCGACGCCGCGUGUGGGAAGAAGGCCUUCGGGUUGUAAACCACUGUUGGGAGUUAGGAAGUGUGGAGGUGUUAAUAGCACUUUCACUUGACUAAAGCUCCAGAGGAAGCCACGGCUAACUCUGUGCCAGCAGCCGCGGUAAUACAGAGGCGGCAAGCGUUGUUCGGAAUUAUUGGGCGUAAAGAGCACGUAGGCGGCUCUGCAAGUCGGCUGUGAAAGCCUUCUGCUUAACGGAAGAACGGCAGUUGAAACUACAGGGCUUGAGUGCGGGAGGGGAGAGUGGAACUUCUGGUGGAGCGGUGAAAUGCGUAGAUAUCAGAAGGAACGCCGGCGGCGAAAGCGGCUCUCUGGUCCGUAACUGGCGCUGAGUGUGCGAAAGCUAGGGGAGCAAACGGGAUUAGAUACCCCGGUAGUCCUGGCCGU
rnacentral:rRNA from 1 species